UGCACUGGUCAAUCUAGUGGCGAACGGGUGAGUAACACGUGGGUAACCUGCCCAUCAGAGGGGGAUAACAUUCGGAAACGGAUGCUAAAACCGCAUAGGUCUUCGAACCGCAUGGUUUGAAGAGGAAAAGAGGCGCAAGCUUCUGCUGGUGGAUGGACCCGCGGUGCAUUAGCUAGUUGGUGAGGUAACGGCUCACCAAGGCCGUGAUGCAUAGCCGACCUGAGAGGGUGAUCGGCCACAUUGGGACUGAGACGCGGCCCAAACUCCUACGGGAGGCAGCAGUAGGGAAUCUUCCGCAAUGGACGCAAGUCUGACGGAGCAACGCCGCGUGAGUGAAGAAGGUUUUCGGAUCGUAAAACUCUGUUGUUAAAGAAGAACAAGUGCUAGAGUAACUGUUAGCGCCUUGGCGGUAUCUAACCAGAAAGCCACGGCUAACUACGUGCCAGCAGCCGCGGUAAUACGUAGGUGGCAAGCGUUGUCCGGAUUUAUUGGGCGUAAAGCGAGCGCAGGCGGUUCCUUAAGUCUGAUGUGAAAGCCCCCGGCUCAACCGGGGAGGGUCAUUGGAAACUGGGGAACUUGAGUGCAGAAGAGGAGAGUGGAAUUCCAUGUGUAGCGGUGAAAUGCGUAGAUAUAUGGAGGAACACCAGUGGCGAAGGCGACUCUCUGGUCUGUAACUGACGCUGAGGCUCGAAAGCGUGGGUAACAAACAGGAUUAGAUACCCUGGUAGUCCACGCCGUAAACGAUGAGUGCUAAGUGUUGGAGGGUUUCCG
rnacentral:rRNA from 1 species